rnacentral:rRNA from 1 species
UUUAACGAGAGUUUGAUCCUGGCUCAGGAUGAACGCUGGCGGCGUGCUUAACACAUGCAAGUCGAGCGAAGCACCUUGACGGAUUUCUUCGGAUUGAAGCCUUGGUGACUGAGCGGCGGACGGGUGAGUAACGCGUGGGUAACCUGCCUCAUACAGGGGGAUAACAGUUGGAAACGGCUGCUAAUACCGCAUAAGCGCACAGUACCGCAUGGUAC